UACGUAGGGUGCGAGCGUUGUCCGGAAUUAUUGGGCGUAAAGGGCUCGUAGGCGGUUUGUCGCGUCGGGAGUGAAAACCAGGUGCUUAACACCUGGCUUGCUUUCGAUACGGGCAGACUAGAGGUAUGCAGGGGAGAACGGAAUUCCUGGUGUAGCGGUGAAAUGCGCAGAUAUCAGGAGGAACACCGGUGGCGAAGGCGGUUCUCUGGGCAUGACCUGACGCUGAGGAGCGAAGGUGUGGGGAGCGAACAGG
rnacentral:rRNA from 1 species